UAUGGGGGUUUUGUCCGAUUUGAACGCAACGAACUCAAACCUCGAUGUUUGAACGACGGUUUUGGAGGGUCAAUGAAUAUUCAUGAGCAAUGACGUAAAAAAUACACCAACUACUGUUUGUUGAUUGGCCAUCGACAAAAUGUUUUAUGUAUUAGGUAAUGCAUAAAACAUUUUUUGCAUUCCCAGAAUUCCCUACGAUUUGAGCAAGAAAAUGACGAAAAAUGGCGGUUGUAUGAACUGCGACUUUGAAGUUUUUCAAUUACGAACAAUGAAACAUUUUUCUUGUAAGUGAAUUUCUAUUAUAAUAGAAGUUUGUCAAAUACAUCUCAGUUGAGCAGAAAAUCUUCAGGCGAACAUCGACAUCAAAGUGAUACCAUACGGAUACCAAAAAAAUCCUAUGCAACCAAAGCAGAUAAUGACCACAGAUGUGCAACAGACACUACCAGUACCUGAUCAUCAUAUGUCAUGGUGUAGAUCUCAGGAACAGGACACCUAAGUUGAACUCUGGCAAGGUUGUCCCAUGCAGAAGGUUCGAUACCCAGGCUUCUUUCUAUCCACUCUCAUCUUGAGAACUCUUGAGAUCUCUACAUCAGCACGCUACAUCACAAUGGGAAAUACAAGAGAGCCAGCAGUGUGACUGAGAUGAUCAGCACAUUUUAGUGGCAUACCUUAUCUACAAGGCACUCUGCAUGUAGACUGGGAAUUGUGCACAAGGUAGUCAAUGGUCUCUCUGCCUUUCCCUUGAAAGCCCUAUUUUCCUUCACAUAUCACAAACAUGGGAGAACCAAGCCAGAAGCGACAUAGAUCCGUUUGUAUUUGCCCAACGCUCCGUCCCAAAGUUUAAUAAUGGAACUGGCUUCCAGCAAAUGUAUGCCGACAGUCCUGCCAGGUCGAACUGCAAGGGACUACUCCUGAGGCAUCUAAUGCCCUUAUCCCAUUAAAAAAAUAUCAUCUGUCUUCCUCACACCCCUUCACUUGUUCAUCUAAUA